rnacentral:rRNA from 1 species
AGGCAGCAGUGGGGAAUAUUGCACAAUGGGGGAACCCUGAUGCAGCGACGCCGCGUGAAGGAAGAAGUAUCUCGGUAUGUAAACUUCUAUCAGCAGGGAAGAUAGUGACGGUACCUGACUAAGAAGCCCCGGCUAACUACGUGCC